CCCGCUUCGACCUCCCAAAUUGCUGAGAUUACAGGCGUGAGCCACUGCGCCCUGCCCAGUCUCUUUCACUACGUGAGGACACAGCAAGAAGGUGCCAGCUAUGAACCAGGAAAAAGCCCUCAGCAGACUGAAUCUACCAGCGCUUUGGUCUUGGACUUGAAGCCUUCAGAACGCAGCCUCCUGCUCCGAAAGUUUGGAAUGGCUGAUUCUGAGAGAGAGAGAGACACGUGAAAGGAUGGGAUAUGAAGAUUUCGGGGAGAGGGCGAAGAACCUACAAAAAAUGCAGGAGGAAUUUACCUACCGAGAAAAUCCUUCACUCCCCCUCUCUCCCUUUGCGUUCUCUGAGCUCACCGUGCUGGCUGCAUCUGUAGAUGAUGAAGACUGAGAGGAAGAGAAGAAGGAUGGAGAUGCAGCUGAAGAUGGCAACAAAGAUGGUUCUGGUGUCUGGAGGGGGAAGAGCAGGUCAAGGAAUCAGCCUGGCUCCUGAAAUCCACCGAUAGGGAGACGGGGUUUCGCCAUGUUGACCAGGCUGGUGUUGAACUCCUGAC